AUGUAACUGUAGGCUAGUUUGCCUUGGUGUACGAGUACUGGACAGCAUUUCUCUUACUGAAUUCUAGUAUAUUAACCAAAAAAGGCUAGUAAAAACAAAAUAUCUAGUCUUUCAGGGAAAGGUAUGACCACACCCAUGAGGAUUUUUACUCCCUGUAAUGAAGAGUAUGGGAAAUUCGCCUCUGCAGCUGGAGGGUGUUUUAAUUGUAGCGUUCUCUAACAUUCUUCCUGGGAAAUCGGUUUCAUUCGGCCUUGGGACGUCUCUGGAUAUUUCUAAACGUCUACAGAGCUUCCCUCAGGACCUUAUUAAAGAGAACAG